UUCAUCUCAAUUUAAGGCAUAUCAACACGAACAGAGAAGGAGGCUAUAAAUAUGGUCCAUUAAGCAUGCACAGGUAAUACUGACACACAUUGAAAUGU